rnacentral:rRNA from 1 species
GACGAACGCUGGCGGCGUGCCUAAUACAUGCAAGUGGAACGCAUUUAUAACUACCGUAGCUUGCUACAACUGCUAUAAAUGAGUCGCGAACGGGUGAGUAACGCGUAGGUAACCUACCUUUAAGCGGGGGAUAACUAUUGGAAACGAUAGCUAAUACCGCAUAAAAGGAGCUAACCCAUGUUAGCUUUUUAAAAGGUGCAACAGCAUCACUUAAAGAUGGACCUGCGUUGUAUUAGCUAGUUGGUAAGGUAACGGCUUACCAAGGCUUCGAUACAUAGCCGACCUGAGAGGGUGAUCGGCCACACUGGGACUGAGACACGGCCCAGACUCCUACGGGAGGCAGCAGUAGGGAAUCUUCGGCAAUGGGGGGAACCCUGACCGAGCAACGCCGCGUGAGUGAAGAAGGUUUUCGGAUCGUAAAGCUCUGUUAUAAGCGAAGAACAGGAGUAAGAGUGGAAAAUUUACUCUAUGACGGUAGCUUAUCAGAAAGGGACGGCUA